UACAGAGGGUGCGAGCGUUGUCCGGAAUUACUGGGCGUAAAGGGCGCGUAGGCGGCUUGGUAAGUCGGGGGUGAAAGUCAGCGGCUCAACCGCUGGACUGCCUUCGAGACUGCCUGGCUUGAGCAUGGUAGAGGCUGGCGGAAUUCCCGGUGUAGCGGUGGAAUGCGUAGAGAUCGGGAAGAACAUCGGUGGCGAAGGCGGCCAGCUGAGCCAUUGCUGACGCUGAGGCGCGACAGCGUGGGGAGCAAACAGG
rnacentral:rRNA from 1 species